rnacentral:rRNA from 1 species
GACGAACCGUGCGAACGUUGUUCGGAAUCACUGGGCUUAAAGGGCGCGUAGGCGGGCGGUCAAGUCAGAGGUGAAAUCCCACGGCUCAACCGUGGAAGCGCCCCUGAUACUGAUUGUCUCGAGGGAGGUAGGGGCGUGCGGAACUUCCGGUGGAGCGGUGAAAUGCGUAGAUAUCGGAAGGAACACCGAUGGCGAAAGCAGCGCGCUGGACCUCUACUGACGCUGAGGCGCGAAAGCCAGGGGAGCAAACGGG